AAGCGUUGAAACUUACAAUGGAAAAAAUGGAGCGUUUCAAAACAACAAAAUAUGGAUUUUUUUAAUGUAAAUGGAUGAAUGAAUUUGGGCUCAAUUGUGUUUAUAAUUAUCUAUAUAUUAUGAAAACUGGUUAAGCAGAGAAUCGAGACAGAUUAUUACACAGACUAUCCGUCAUAAAGCGUCAGGUAUAUUGUUAUUUUGCAAAGAUUGUGCAUUGUUUUGGUUUCCUUUGUUUGGAGUUUAUUAUCGUUGAAAAGGAAUAACAUCUAAAAAAACAAAGUGAAAAUGUUAGACUGUAAGCAAUUGACUGGUAUAUUUUUCUCUCGAAAGUAUGUUAGAUUUUGGUAUUGUUUAUGUGCAAAGUUUUGGGAUUAUUUUGAUUUUCUUCCAUAUAUCUAAUUUUCCGAUACCUGUUUUUUUUAUUGACAUACUUUCAACUCACAAGUUCAUACAGUGUUAAGGUUCAUAUUUUAUUCAUGAUCGAAAUUAUGUCAAAUCAUGCCAAACAUUUAAACAUUUACAUUUACAGAGGAGUGUUUUGUGGCAGGAUUGGUUAACGUUAAGGCUGAAAAAUUUGAAAAAACCAAUUUUUUGUAUCUUUGACUACUGAUAUCUGGUGUUGUAUUUGCAAUCCACCAACUUUGCGUCAUUCUGUGACAAUUUAACGACGAUGAAUAUCUUAAGAAGAGCAAAAUUUUAGUGCUACAGUAAGCUCUUGAGAAAUUCCAAAGAUCGUGUUGAAGUACACAGGGGGUGUCCUGUUAUCGAGUAAUUUUGAUUGGCUUCUAAUUAUCUCUGACACAACGGUCAGGUUAUAAGGAGCUGUAAGAAAAUCAGUAGUAUUUGUUAUUUCUUUUUUCUAACGUUACGUUAUGAUGGCUUGGAAACUACUUUUUCCCUUGUUCAUAGUUGCAAUUUUGGUGACUUUUCACCAAGUGGAUGGAACGUUAAGAGAUAUCUUAUCUCAAUCCAGAAGUAGAUUCAUAAAUAAACGUGCCUUAACAGACUUUGCUCUGUGUCAUAGAUGGAAUUAUUGGAACGAUCCUUGCUGUAGGUCGAAUCUUGCAUGUUUUAAUGACAGGAUUAAAGACAGGAUUAGAGACAGGAGACAAGACGAUAACGACCUAGCAGAUUGAACGUACCUUUGGUGUUGGAUUCAAAAAGAAAAACUGAAUUGUACCACAACUUUUAAUUGAACUGUUGAUUCUAUAGAGCAGAUUUUCCUGUAUUGAGUUUUUGAAAUGUCAUUUGACAAAUAUUGAGUUGUCUUUUUAUCGAUAAAGAUAAUUUUAAAGCGCA